GUGAUUAUCCUAAGUUUGUGCUAUUAUUUUCGUGCGAGAAGGGCCUGUAUGAAACGCCUUCGAUCUCACGAUAAAAAUUGUACGCGUUCGAUAUCCAUACGACUGUUUAUUACUACCGGAGCUAACUAAAGGCAGGGAUUGGAAGGAUCCCGUUUAAUGAAUAAAAUCCUCCUGGCGCCCUCAUUAAUUUGCUAAGAUUACUUAGAUAUAAGUUUUAUUUAAAUAAGCUAGUUAGUUACUACCUACUACUUAAUUAUUAUUAUCCUGUGGUUAAGUAUAAACGAUUUUUAUAAUAAGUACAUGUAGUUCUUAGUUACUUUAAGUUAACAUUUCUAUUGAUUGUCUACGUCAAUGAAAUAAAACGUUUUCUUUAUAAAAG